GGGUUGUGAGGUUAAGCGACUAAGCGUACACGGUGGAUGCCCUGGCAGUCAGAGGCGAUGAAGGACGUGCUAAUCUGCGAAAAGCGUCGGUAAGGUGAUAUGAACCGUUACAGCCGGCGAUGUCCGAAUGGGGAAACCCAGUGCAAUUCGUUGCACUAUCGUUAACUGAAUACAUAGGUUAACGAGGCGAACCGGGGGAACUGAAACAUCUAAGUACCCCGAGGAAAAGAAAUCAACCGAGAUUCCCCCAGUAGCGGCGAG
rnacentral:rRNA from 1 species